AGACGCAGCGGGAGUAAAGGUGAGUAAAAUCUCACCAAGGUCCACUUUGAGACCUAUUUAUUUUGAUGAUGAUUGUGAUGUUGGUUUUGUUGAUGAUGAUGAUAAUGUUUUGGAUGAUUAUGAUGAUGAUGAUGAUAAUGAUUUUGAUGAUUAUGAUGAUGAUGAUGCUUAUAACUUAGAAAAUUAUGUCUUUAAAGGUUUUAAAAUAUAUGAGCUUGAUCGCCAACGGCUCAUAGGUAAGAUAAAACAAGUUUUCCUUAUGAUUAUUUUAAGUUCCUCGUGAUCAUAAUUUUAUUGGUGAUUGAUAGAUAAUUUCUUGUGGAAAUAUCUAGAUUUAUUCAUAUAAUUUUAUCUAUGUGGAAAGAUAUAAUUUUAUGAUGUGUUCUUUGUGUUGUUGAUGAUGUUGAAUUAAAGAAUGAUGAUGAUUUAAAUGUUAUGCAAUUAGAUAAUUGUGGUUGCUAUGAUGAUGAUUGUGAUGAUGAUGAUGAUGAUGUUGAUGAUGUUGAAUUUAAGUAUACGUUAUUGUUUGUUUUUAAAAAUAAAUGAGCUUGAUCGUCAACGGCUCAUAGGUAAGAUAAAACAAGUUAGAUAGUCAAACUGGGUUCCAAGCCUUUAAUCGGGUGAUUGGUUAAAGUUAUGACGCUAUUAUUAUUUUGUGAUGUGAUAUUGGACAGUCAAACUGGGUUCCAAGCCUUUGGCCGGGUAAUUGGUUACGGUUAAGAAUAGAGCUCUAGUCCGUCUGUCGGUGUAGGUCAUGGGAGGUACCUGAAGGUAUCUGGGACCCAUGGGUACAUAAAUUGUUGUUGUAGGUCAUGAGAGAUAUUUAUUAAUAUCUGGGACUCAUGGGUACAUGUGUUUGUUGUAGGUAAUGGGAGAUACCUUAUUGGUAUUUAGGACUCAUGGGCACAUGUAUAUUUGUAAAAGUAUUGGUUUUAUGGUUUUAACAUUUUCUUAAUUUUUGUAAUUUAUUUCUUUGUUUGAAUAUCUCCUGAACUAUGCUUAAUGCAGGAGAUUCUUUAAAUCUUAAUUGUGUGAUUUUUAGUGAAUUUCCUGAACUAUCCUUUUUGCAGGAUUCACUUAUGAUUUUGAUUGUUGUGAAUUGUUGUGUUUUCUUAUUUACUCUCUUUUGAAUUUUAUUGUUUUGAGGUGAUUCCUGAACUAAGUUCUAAAGCAGGAAUUACCGGUUUUAUCUUAUGUGGUGUUGGAGAUGUUGAGUAAAUUUUGAGAAUUACUCAUACGAGCUUUUUAGCUUACCGGGUUUGUUGUUUACAACCCGGUGCACCAAUUCAUGAUGUAGGGGUUAGACUUACAAGUGUUGAUCAACAUGGUUGAGGCAGAGGCAUAGUGGCUGGAGUUUAGAUGAUGUACAUUUUAUUUGUAUAUUAUGUAAGUUUUUUUUUAAGCUCGUGUGAGCAUCUUCAUUUUACUAGACUUUUGAAGUUGUAAAUAAGGAGAUGUAAUGUUUAACUCAGUGAUGAGUUUUGUUGAUAUUUAUAUUUCCAGCUUUUGGGUUUAGUUUGGGAUUGUUGAGCAGGUAUUGGAGUCUUAGUUUUGAGUUAUAUCAUGCCCAAAUUUUUAAAAAUUAUCCUUCGAAAAUUGGGGUGUGACAAUUUCGGUUGUGGGCGAAGGCUUGAUUGCAUUUUAGAUUAUUUAAAGGAAGUUGUAUGUUAUCUUAGUUGGAUAAUUAUGUGUUGAUCUGGAAGUUGAUUUUGUUAUUGUUAUUGGUGAUGUGUUGUGUUUGGGGAGCAUGUAGGCUCCAGAAGUUAAGGUUGGAUUGAGAAAUUUUAUAAGUGUUGCAGGUUUUCUUUAGGAAUGGUUGUCUAUUUUCAAGGGAGAUUAUGCCGAAUUUUCGGUAAUAUCUUCUUUAGAGGUGGUCCCCGCAGGACUUACUCCGGAUUUUAGGGUAAAAUUCGGAGUGGAUCUUGACACACGCUAUGCGAGAUGUUGCAUUCACAAAUACACUAAUACAAUUAUCAGUGAUGAGGAUUCCCUUACCGGUUUUAAAUGCUUGUUGUAUGUUACCAAUACCAUGGACAUAUUCCGCCUUACACCUAAAACAUUUUUGGUGCUCUUUGAGUGGAAGAGUUGUCGUGGAUCUUGGUGAGGAACAAAAAUUUUCAAGUUGUGCAGGCAUUCUAAAUUAACAUGAACAAUAUAGGACUCGUCGUCAACAGAUUAGGGCAUUGCGUAUGAGCCACUAUCUGUGCGGACUAGUAGAGACCGUUGUCUAAACGGCAACAAUGCUGCUAAGAAUAGGGAGAGAGAAACCUAGCAUUUACUCUAACUUUCACUCUAAAGAUAUCUUACACAUAACUUAAUCAUUUGAAUUUUGAUCAUAAAUGCAAGAAGUUUUUCUCAAAUUGUGAAUAGGAAAAAAAAUAAUUUUAAAUACACACCCUUAAUCUCUUAAUACACACAUUUUACUUAAUACACUACUCAUCUAGUUUUUCAUUUCAAUAUUAUAAUAAAUACACAUUACAAACUGCCUAAGAUACCCUCAAUAUCUAAAACUAAUAAUAAUUUGUUAUUUAAUAUAAUUGUUAUAUAUUUACUAUUUCACAACUCUCUUUACGUGUUCUCUUUUAUUUUCUGUUAGAUAUUUUUGAUCAAGUUAGAAAUUUUUUCUUGAUAUUUUUCAAUUUAUAAUCAAAAGAGUAAUAUUAUAUUCGAACUCCAAAUCUCCAAUAUGACAUUAAUCGGCUAGAAUUUGA
rnacentral:lncRNA from 1 species